CCCCUUCUCUCGGUCACUAUCUCCGCAUCUCCGCUCCCUCGCAACCACCUCCAACGCCAUCGCAUCACUUCUCUCUCCAGCGACGCUCCGACGCGCUGCCGCAUCCCCGUCUGGUUCCGCCACGAGGAGGGGUCGAGGCCUGAGCCCGACAGUGUGCCGGUGAGGCAUGAGCCCGACAGUGUGUCGGAGUUGCGGCGGUGGAUGAGGCGAGGGCGGGGUAGGGCAUAGCCGCCGUGCAUAGGCUGCCGCGCCGCAGUGGAACAGAGAGGAGGCGCCGCAUGGUCAGGGUCGGACGCUCAUCCCGCGGUGGCUGCCGAUCCCGCUGCCAGGUCAUCGUCGUCGCGCGAUCCUGGCUGCUCCUCUGUCGCAACCCUACCGGCUCCUUCCCUGCGCCGCCGCGACCGCCUCGGUGGUGCCACGCGAGUCCAUCCCGCCGACAGGUCGUCGUCACGCGAUCCCGCUGGCUCCUCCGUCGCCACCUCCACGAGUCGCCAUUACUGAUGGCGAUUUCUUCUCUAUUCUCAAGUCUUCCCCAUAUCUAAUCCCUCUUUCCUCCUCUUUGUGCUUUCUGCGUGCUCUGCCUCUCUGCUCAGUGCUAUUGAUUUCUUCACAAGGCUAUGUAAGAAAAGCUUUGCAGGCUAAAGGUAUGCAGAGAUGGAGUAUUGUGCAUCUUUGGGCACGGCCACAGCAGUCGUCCUUGCUGCUAUAAUUGGUUUAAUGGUAUCUUGGACCAAAUCAUCUCUGGGUUAACAUGAUAUUUCUAACGUACAAGUGUCCGCUGUCUCUUAGAUAGCCAAAACACUAAUCAUUAUGCAGACUGAAUUGAGGUUAAUAGCAACAAAUCCUAUAACAAACAAGUGUUGUGUCCAUGGCUUGAGGUUGAUAGCAAUAAUUUUUUAAUUGACGCAGAAUGUUAGAAUGGAAAUGUUAAGUUUGCUUUAGUCAUUGUUAAAUGUAGGUAAUUUUUUUUGGAAUGGUCAACAUAACGAUAAUUCCAUUUAGAGACAUAUUUUGCUAAAAUAAGAAAUAACUCGUCCAACACCCCUAAAUCUUUGACGUGUUUGCUGAUCAUAAUAUUGCCCUUGCUUUUUAGGCAUCUUGUGUGUUGGUAACAUUCAAGUGGCUGAAUUGGAUUGUAAAUAAAACCUUCAUUCUUACCUAUAGAUUUCCCUUCUAUAGAAAAUACUUUUCUCUGAAGUAUCUAAUAUAAUGCUCUGCCGCAUGGGUGGUAGUUAUUCCAAUGGUACAAUGCAUGCUGACGACGGCGAGGCGGUCGAUCCAGUACCGCAGCACCUCGAGCUCGCCGGACCUAGAGGUUGAGGUGUCGAGCGUGGCCGUACGGCAUUAAUAUAUAGUUUUGUUUGUGGUUUUGAAUUAUCAACAUUGAUAACUGAUAUUAUUAUGCAAACUAGAAACUUGAGAAAAAUAUGCACAUGCUGCACUACUAUUGUUGUUCUAAAAGAAAUAUUCCUUUGAAAGAAAAAAAUAUUGCAAAACAUGCAUAUUACCCGCACAAGUAGGCUGAAACUCUGUUGAAUCUUCCUCUGCUUUAUCUGCAAUGCUAAAACAGCGAGAAUAUCCUUAUCGACACAUUUUUUCAAUGUACAUGAGUUAUCAAGUUUUACUGAUGCAGUGAUUCAUUAUCAGAAAUAAAGAGUGAUUAGUACUUAUGCUUGAAAUUUCCUCCAUCUUUGUUAUGUAAAAGAAAUGGAGUGACAAACGGGAAAACAAAAGAGAAAGCUCCUCAUGUGUUUAUGUAUUUCCAUCCUGCAUAUGAACUGUU